rnacentral:rRNA from 1 species
CCUACGGGAGGCAGCAGUGAGGAAUAUUGGUCAAUGGGCGCUAGCCUGAACCAGCCAAGUAGCGUGAAGGAUGACUGCCCUAUGGGUUGUAAACUUCUUUUAUAUGGGAAUAAAGUGCAGUAUGUAUACUGCUUUGCAUGUACCUUAUGAAUAAGGAUCGGCUAACUCCGUGCCAGCAGCCGCGGUAAUACGGAGGAUCCGAGCGUUAUCCGGAUUGAUUGGGGUUAAAGGGAGCGUAGGCGGGUUGUUAGGUCAGUUGUGAAAGUUUGCGGCUCAACCGUAAAAUUGCAGUUGAUACUGGCAUCGUGGAGUACAGUAGAGGUAGGCGGAAUUCGUGGUGGAGCGGUGAAAUGCUUAGAUAUCACGAAGAACUCCGAUUGCGAAGGCAGCCUGCUGGACUGUAACUGACGCUGAUGCUCGAAAGUGUGGGUAUCAAACAGGAUUAGAUACCCCUGUAGUC